AUUCUACUCCCUCCGUCCGGAAAUACUUGUCGGAGGAAUGGAUGUAUCUAGAUGCAUUUUAGUUCUAGAUACAUCCAUUUCUAUUCAUUUCUGCAACAAGUAAUUCCGGGCGGAGGGAGUAUAUU
rnacentral:pre_miRNA from 1 species